rnacentral:misc_RNA from 1 species
GAUGAAGAACGUAGCGAAAUGCGAUACGUAAUGUGAAUUGCAGAAUUCAGUGAAUCAUCGAAUCUUUGAACGCAUAUUGCGCUCUCUGGUAUUCCGGAGAGCAUGCUUGUUUGAGUAUCAGUAAACACCUCAACUUCCAUAUCUUUUUUGAAAUGGGAGUUGGACUUGAGUGAUCCCAACGCUUUUCCUCACCGAAAAGUGGGGGGUUACUUGAAAUGCAGGUGCAGCUGGACUUUUCUCUGAGCUAUAAGCAUAUCUAUUUAGUCUGCCUAAAAAACAGAUUAUUACCUUUGCUGCAGCUAACAUAAAGGAGAUUAGUUCUUGUGCUGACUGAUGCAGGAUUCACAAAGACAGGCUUCGGCCGACUUUGUAAACUCGAUCUCAAAUCAAGUAAGACUACCCGCUGAACUUAAGCAUAUCAAUAACGGAGGA